rnacentral:rRNA from 1 species
CUCGAGGCCAGAUCUUUCCGGUUGAUCCUGCCGGACCUGACUGCUAUCGGAUUGAUACUAAGCCAUGCGAGUCUUUGUAGCAAUACAAGGCAGACGGCUCAGUAACACGUAGUCAAUCUACCCUAUGGACGGGGAUAACCUCGGGAAACUGAGAAUAAUACCCGAUAGAUCAUUAUGCCUGGAAUGGUUUAUGGUCGAAAUGAUUUAUCGCCGUAGGAUGGGACUGCGGUCUAUCAGCCUGUUGGUGAGGUAAUGGCCCACCAAGGCUAUAACAGAUACGGGCUCUGAGAGGAGAAGCCCGGAGAUGGGUACUGAGACACGGACCCAGGCCCUAUGGGGCGCAGCAGGCGAGAAAACUUUGCAAUGUGCGAAAGCACGACAAGGUUAAUCCGAGUGUUUUCUGCUAAAGAAAUCUUUUGUCAGUCCUAAAAACACUGAUGAAUAAGGGGUGGGCAAGUUCUGGUGUCAGCCGCCGCGGUAAAACCAGCACCUCAAGUGGUCAGGAGGAUUAUUGGGCCUAAAGCAUCCGUAGCCGGCCGUGUAAGUUUUCGGUUAAA